GGGUUGGNACCCCUCAAGAAAGUCCGCAGAGACCGUGGAUGUGCCCCGCAAGGGAACUGAGUGUCCCAGGUGCUGCAUGGCUGUNGUCAGCUUCGUGUCUGUGAGACUGUUGGGUUAAGUCCCGCAACGAGCGCAACCCCUUGUCGUUANGUUGCUAACAGUUANNCUNGAGCACUCUAACGAGACUGCCCGGUGUUAAACCGGAGGAAGGUGGGGAUGNNGUCAAGUCCUCAUGGCCCCUUAUGCCCAAGGGCUUACANACGUGCUUACNANUGGGGCGGUNCCAAAGCGUUGGNCUAACCCCGCGAGGGGGAGCCAAUUCCGCCAAAAAAACCCGGUCCUCCAGUUCAGAUUUGCCAGUU
rnacentral:rRNA from 1 species